GACGAACGCUGGCGGCGUGCUUAACACAUGCAAGUCGAACGGAAAGGCCCUGCUUUUGUGGGGUGCUCGAGUGGCGAACGGGUGAGUAACACGUGAGUAACCUGCCCUUGACUUUGGGAUAACUUCAGGAAACUGGGGCUAAUACCGGAUAGGAGCUCCUGCUGCAUGGUGGGGGUUGGAAAGUUUCGGCGGUUGGGGAUGGACUCGAGGCUUAUCAGCUUGUUGGUGGGGUAGUGGCUUACCAAGGCUUUGACGGGUAGCCGGCCUGAGAGGGUGACCGGCCACAUUGGGACUGAGAUACGGCCCAGACUCCUACGGGAGGCAGCAGUGGGGAAUAGUGCACAAUGGGCGGAAGCCUGAUGCAGCAACGCCGCGUGCGGGAUGACGGCCUUCGGGUUGUAAACCGCUUUCGCCUGUGACGAAGCGUGAGUGACGGUAAUGGGUAAAGAAGCACCGGCUAACUACGUG
rnacentral:rRNA from 1 species